AUUUUUGAAACUCAAAAUGUACAAUUAAAUUCAUCCCUUCCAAUUAAACUGUGUGUAUUAUUUUUUUUAUUUACCUACACCUAUGCUGUGAUCUACAUCCACUUUUUUAAUAAAGGGGGUGGCAAGUUAAACUUGCCCCCUUACGGAGUAGCCUAGAUCCGGCCCUGGGUACCUAUUCACAUGCCGUUUACUUUAUUUAUCGGCAACAACUUCGUUUUUAAUAAAUUUUGGAUUUUCACUGAUAAAUUGGAAUUGGAUGAUGAUACUUAUUAUAGGUACUUUCUUAGUAUAUUUAACAAACUUCUGUUCGUGUGGAGUUUUUGCUAGAGUACCCCAUCGGACGUCCCCUCAAAAGGAAACAAAAGGUACAAAAAAUAUCUUACCCUUUAAAGGGUAAGAUAAACACCUUAACUCUUUUUGAUAUGUUUUGAUACGUUGAUUUCGUCUGCACAACGGAAAACAAGGUAUAAAUGCCAAGAUAUACCUUUUUAUACAAAAAUAUUGAAAUAGGUUAAAGCACCGUUACUUAUAAAAAUAUAUUAAAAUGGAAAAUCCAAGUCAACAAUCAACUAGGUAGCUGCAUAAUGUGGUCAGCCAAAAAAAAAAAAA
rnacentral:lncRNA from 1 species